GACGAACGCUGGCGGCGUGGAUUAGGCAUGCAAGUCGAACGGUAUCAUCCUUUCGGGGGUGAGAGAGUGGCGAACUGGUGAGUAACACGUAGGUUAUCUACCCUCAAGACGGGGACAACCCAGGGAAACUUGGGCUAAUACCGGAUGUGAGCAACUUUUAGUUGUUUGAAAGGUGGCGUAAGCUGUCGCUUGGGGAUGAGCCUGCGUCCUAUUAGUUAGUUGGUGAGGUAACGGCUCACCUAGGCAAUGAUAGGUAGGCGGCCUUAACGGGUGGUCACCCACACUGGGAUUGAGAUACGGCCCAGACUCCUACGGGAGGCAGCAGUCGAGAAUAGUCUACAAUGGUCGGAAGACUGAUAGUGCGACGCCGCGUGAACGAUGAAUCCCUUCGGGGUGUAAAGUUCUUUUAUAUGUGAGCAGUGCUUCUUAUAUUAACAGUAUGGGGAGAGAGAUAUUAGCAUAUGAAUAAGCAACGGCUAACUCCGUGCCAGCAGCCGCGGUAAUACGG
rnacentral:rRNA from 1 species